rnacentral:rRNA from 1 species
UACGUAGGGCGCAAGCGUUGUCCGGAAUUAUUGGGCGUAAAGAGCUCGUAGGCGGCCUGUCGCGUCGGUUGUGAAAGCCCGGGGCUCAACCCCGGGUCUGCAGUCGAUACGGGCAGGCUAGAGUUCGGUAGGGGAGAUCGGAAUUCCUGGUGUAGCGGUGAAAUGCGCAGAUAUCAGGAGGAACACCGGUGGCGAAGGCGGAUCUCUGGGCCGAUACUGACGCUGAGGAGCGAAAGCGUGGGGAGCGAACAGG